rnacentral:rRNA from 1 species
UUUCAGUUUGCCACCCCGAAACUAAGCGAGCUACUUCAAAACAGCNNNNNGAGCUAACCCAUCUCUGUAGCAAUAGAGUGGGAAGAUUUUCAAGUAGAAGUGAUAAACCUACCGAGCUUAGAGAUAGCUGGUUAUUCAGAAAAAGAAUAUUAGUUCUGCCUCAAAUCUUAUACCUGCUAAUCAACAACCCCAAAGAUUUUAGAGUUAUUCAAAUAAGGAACAGCUUAUUUGAAAAAGGACACAACCUAAAUAAUAGGGUAACCCCCCAAAAAAAUUUAACAAGUGGGCCUAAGAGCAGCCACCUUUUAAAAAGCGUUAAAGCUUAAUUUAACUUUAUAAAAAUACCCCAAACUAACAUGAACCCCUCACUACUACUGAAUGAUUUUAUAUAAAUAUAAAAAACACCAUGCUAGAACUAGUAACAAGAAUUUAACAUUCUCCAUAAUAUAAGCAUAAACCAAAAUGGAUUCUCCAUUGGUAUUUAACGAAAAUGAGUAAUUAUACAGCAACAACACAAGAAAACCCUGCAUAUAAUUAAUCGUUAANNNUACACUAGAGUAUUACUGGAAAGAUUAAAAGAAAAAGAAGGAACUCGGCAAAUUUCAGCCCCGCCUGUUUACCAAAAACAUCGCCUCUUGUUAAACAAUAAGAGGUCUAGCCUGCCCAGUGANNNNNUUUAACGGCCGCAGUACCCUAACUGCGCGAAGGUAGCAUAAUCACUUGUUCUUUAAAUAAGGACUAGUAUCAACGGCAUCACGAGGGUUGCACUGUCUCCUUUAUCUAAUCAGUGAAACUGAUCUCCCCGUGAAAAAGCGGGGAUCUACCCAUAAGACGAGAAGACCCCAUGGAGCUUUAAACCUACAGCAACUCAACUAAAUAACCCUACACAAUUAUAGAGAUAUGCCUGUUGGCUUUAGGUUGGGGUGACCGCGGAGUAAAAAUUAUCCUCCAUAAUGCAAAGAUCUAAAUCUUUAUUCAAGAGCUACUACUCUAAAAAUUAGCAUACUAAUAUACACUGACCCGAUAAUCGAUUAAUGAACCAAGUUACCCUGGGGAUAACAGCGCAAUCUAUUUCAAGAGUUCAUAUCGACAAAUAGGCUUACGACCUCGAUGUUGGAUCAGGGUAUCCCAGUGGUGUAGAAG